rnacentral:misc_RNA from 1 species
UCAUUGCAUGCGCAUUUUUACCAAUGGAUUUGGUGUUUUAGUGGGAUUUUACUAUUUUGGGAUUUUAAAUUGGCUUUUUGAUGUGGUUUUGCGACUUGUUUGAGUUUAAUUUCAUUGCCUUUUCCUCCGUGAUUAUGCAUUUUGUUUUCAGGGAUUUAGUUGCAGUGGGGUUUGAGUUUACACAAUUAUUUCACACAUUUUUAGAAGUGUAUGAUAAUUCAAUACAUUUCCUAUUGGAUUAAUUUAGCUUUCUUCUCUCUUUAUCCCGAAUUUUGAUGUCGAGUUGGAUUGCUAAACUUUAUUGUUUAGACAUAGAGCUUUCUUUGCAUGAACUAUUAUUUAACAUAAACUCAUUUGAAAUUGUUUUUUCUCCCUGGGUUUUCCUUGAAGGGUCUGAUAUACUCUUUAUGUCUUGGGAAUUUCUAUUGAAAUGUGUAAGAUAUAAUGCAACUGAAAUGAGAAUGAGCAUGUCUUUUGAUGAGAAUAAAUCCGAUGCUUUGUAUAUUAUUUUUAUCCACUGUAGUUACUGUUAUAUUAUUGGGGAAAAUCAUUUGAUUUUGAUUGUAAAUAUAAACAAUUGAAUAGUUAUAUUUGGUUUGCCUGAACUGCAAAACAUAAAUUAUUUGAUAGCUUAACUUAUAUUGAAUUACACUUUUUCUUGUUCCUUUAAUCUCUUCUUGAUGUUUGCCACUCAUCA